CCGGACCGGCGCACGGGUGAGUAACGCGUAUGCAACUUACCUAUCAGAGGGGGAUAACCCGGCGAAAGUCGGACUAAUACCGCAUGAAGCAGGGGCCCCGCAUGGGGAGUAUUUGCUAAAGAUUCAUCGCUGAUAGAUAGGCAUGCGUUCCAUUAGGCAGUUGGCGGGGUAACGGCCCACCAAACCGACGAUGGAUAGGGGUUCUGAGAGGAAGGUCCCCCACAUUGGUACUGAGACACGGACCAA
rnacentral:rRNA from 1 species